UCUCAGUCUGCCAGUAAUACAUAUCUUUGUUUUCAUAGAUUAAAAAAAUUCAAGAACGAAGCCUGAUAUGUAGUAUUAGACAGUAACGUACAUAAUAGUAAAAACUUUCUCGAUUAUACAAAGAGAAGGUAGUUUCUUUAGUACAUUGUCACUUCACACUUCGUAGUCGUACUUUUGAUUUUCACAUAUCAGAAUUGAAAAACCUCAAUUAAAAACUUUUAUAGAGAAGGAUUUUUCGGUGCGCGAAAAAUAAGUAUGGCCACAAGGAUAGAGCCCAAUUAAGAAAAACGUGGCUUAUAUUUGUUAUAGUCGCAUCAAAGCUAGGAUAAAAGAAGGUUGCAAUAGAUUGAUCGCUAACAUAAAAUUUUAUCUAAAUCCCAAAACACAAAGGAAGUAAAAGAAAAGGACAUAUGUAGCGGAGCCAGCAUCCGCGCGUGCUGGACUCCACCGGACCUUUUAGUACGCCGAGGACCAGUUGCUGAGCGGAGCGGUGGAAGUUGGAACAGUGGUCUGUGGAAGAAAGGGAAAAUCGAAGAAGUUGGAACAGUGGUCUGUGGAAGAAUUGGGCAUAAUAUUUUCCUUUUUUUUUUUUCAAUAAAAAAUAGGCCCAAUGGCUCCAAAUCUAAUCCAUGGUCUAUGAUAUAUAUGUAUUUCCUCCCACCAGUGUAUCAAAUGACCAAUUAGGCAAUUACCAAACGAAUCGAAGCAGUGCAGACAAGGAGAAGCAAGACGCCCCGCUACCUGUCAUUCUCCAUUUCUCCACCUUUCCUAGCUCGAUUUGCGAAGCUGGUCGUCCGCUACAGACUCGAACUCUUGGAUGGACCUCUUGUAGCUACUGGCUGUGACUUUGUGAAUUGUGUCUAAAAUAUCCAAAUUCUUUGAACACGUGGCAGUCAAAGGGAUCUACUUGUUAUUUGACUGACUAUACGUGUUACGCCUCGCUACUAAGGCUCCACCUGAACAACCCACUGAAACUCUUGCGAUGAAGCCGCGUUGAACAUUGGAGUCUGUAGAUCUGAAGCGGUCCCAUCCUAAAGACGAAGCCCCAAAGCUAUAUGCUACAUGCGAGGCUCAAGCACAUCUACCUAGCGAAGCGAUGAAACUCGACAAAAGUCAAAAUCGAAACUCAGCCACAACAAGUAACAACCUACACGUGAAGAUCUUGAAAUUAUGAAUGAGAUCUCUUUCGAAAGAUUGAUGGAACAUUUCUAAUGAGUGGAAUGUCAAGAUUUUUUAGUUUAGGUUGAGGUGGCUUCCUCCUGCCAGAAUAUUAAAUGCGCCACAGGUUAUGAAGUUCAAAUAAAUGUCUAGGAUUGGAUGUUUCGAUUAAGGAGAUGAGCCUACAUGUAUCUUCAUCCAAUGUAGCAUUAUAAAUCCCCCCUCCUUGUAUAAUUUGAAGACUAAUGCAACUCUAAAAUACUUAAAGCGACUCUUUAUCUUC